AGCGCCGCCUCUUCUUCUUCUUCUACUCCUCAGCACUAUAUAUAUCUCUUCCAUUCCAGUCCCAAUCGUAUUGUGCUCUAUAUUUUGGCUGUAGAACUCAUCUUUGAUUUUCCUAUCUUUUGUUGUAUUUAUGUUUUAGUAGUGAAAUAAAUUGCAAAAUCGCCGUGACGACUCGGAAAAUUCAAGCUCAACAGACCGUAUUGCAGGUCUCUCUCCGCUGAGAUUGUUACUUGCAUGUCGAUUCACCCGCUGAACUGAGCGAUUCCCUCCUUAUCUUCUUUUUCCUCUUUCACAUACGGUUGUUUUUCUUUUAUUUUUCCUGAUUUGUUUCUUCAUUUUUAUGUUUAAAUGGUUUUGGGGAUCUGUUUACCGCGACGAUAGAAAAGCUCCCUCUUCUGAAAUACAUUGAGGACGCUUGCCGGCAGAAUCGAACCAAUAACUAAUUUGCCACUACUGAGUAAACUACACCAUUUCCCCCUUAUUAAAUUAUUUUUCUUAUUUUAUUUCAUUUAGCCUAUUUUUGAAGCAAUAGUUUCCUACUGUAACCACUUUGAAUCUUACAAUUAUUAGUAGUAUGGUUUGAUUUUAUUUGAAGGAUCGUCAAGUGAUGAAUACAUUUACAUAUCUUAGGAUACCUUUGGACACAGUCUAUUUCUAGCUGUGGAUGAAAAUCAACUUUAUUCUGAUGAUGAAAACUUCCUCUUUAAGUUUUUAUUUGAUUUUUAUUUAAUUUUGUAGUAGCGCAUUUGUUUCCUACCGAAUCGCACUACGCUUAAAAGGCUGCGCCAAUAUUGUUAAAAACAAUAAAGGAAUGGAGUAGUCUCUGAGCAAUUGUGCGGAAAUGAAAUGCCGAGUUAAGCUCGGCGGCGGCCAGACAACCGUUGAGAUGGAUCCACAGAUCAGCGCCGCCGUUUCUACGGUGCUUGUCUACUAAAUCCAUAUCAAAUUCUCUUCCAAUCAUCUCUUCUCUUGUUACUUUUUCUCUGAUCAAACUCUGCACGAACAAAGUUUAUAGUUUGGAUUUGUCUUCCCCAUGAGUUAUGAGUCGCCGCUCCCCUUUUACUGUUCACCCGGCGGUAAUCCUGGCAGUUGAGUUUUACCACUUGCUUUUGCGGAGACUUGUAGAGUUGUAGUUGAAGAUGUCAAUUUCAGAGUCUUCUACCCAAGACAUAGGGUGCAAUCAGCCAAUCCAUGAAAAUAUGCUUGAAGAUAUUGAAGUUGAAGAACUAGAGCUUGAGGAAGAGGGGGAGGGAAUGGCGCUGCCUGCAUCAAAAAAGCGUAAACACGUAGUGAGGUCGGAUAUAUGGAAAAAGUUUGAUAGAGUGGUUGAAGAUUCAAUUAUAAAAGGGAAAUGCAUGUGGAAAUAUGAUAUGUGCUGAUCCGAUGAACAAUGGUCAAUGAAGAUGAUUGACAUUCUUAUGUGGUGGAAGACAUACGGUAUUUCCUAUCCUAUUCUAUCAGAGAUGGCUAAAGGUAUCCUUGCUAUUCCUAUAUCAAGCGUUGCUUCUGAGUCGGCAUUCAACAUGGGGGGCGUGUGCUAUUGAUAUUUAGAAACUCUUUGGCACCGGAAAUGGUAGAAGCUUUGAUAUGCUCCGAGGAUUGGUUGAGGUCUAGUUCUAGUUCUGUCGAUCUCAUGGAAGAAGAAGGAGAACCAAUACCAUUUUUGAAAAAACAAUACUAUGAAACGGUGGAGGCACUCUAUAAGGAUGGCAAAGUGAUGUGGCCAUUGGAUGGUGCAGAAUUGGGAGAAUUGGAAAGAACUCAUUCAAGUGAUCAUGAUGAAAGUUAAAUUAUUGUGCAUUUGGUUUGGAAUUUGAAAAUAUUGAUCUUGGAGGUUUUUUUAAUAUUUGAACUUUGAAUAGUAGUUGAAUUGAAUAGGUUGCAAACAUUGAGGAAAAAAUAUAAUGCAUAGUUUAACUAAUUUUCCUUCGGCA